rnacentral:rRNA from 1 species
UUGGAGGGCAAGUCUGGUGCCAGCAGCCGGCGGUAAUUCCAGCUCCAAUAGCGUAUAUUAAAGUUGUUGCAGUUAAAAAGCUCGUAGUUGAAUUUCGGGAUUGACACAUCGGUCGUGCCUUAAGGGGUAUGAACUGGCGUAGUCAAUUUCUCACCUUCUGGAGAACCGCGAUGCCCUUAAUUGGGUGUCACGGGGAACCAGGACCUUUACUUUGAAAAAAUUAGAGUGUUUAAAGCAGGCAUUUUGCUUGAAUACAUUAGCAUGGAAUAAUAAAAUAGGACGGCAUGAUUCUAUUUUGUUGGUUUCUAGGAUCACCGUAAUGAUUAAUAGGGAUAGUUGGGGGCAUUAGUAUUCAAUUGUCAGAGGUGAAAUUCUUGGAUUUAUUGAAGACUAACUACUGCGAAAGCAUUUGCCAAGGAUGUUUUCAUUAAUCAAGAACGAAAGUUAGGGGAUCGAAGACGAUCAGAUACCGUCGUAGUCUUAACCAUAAACUAUGCCGACUAGGAAUCAGACGAUGUUAAUUUUUUAAUGACUCGUUCGGCGCCUUACGGGAAAC